UGUGUGUGUGUGUGUGUGUGUGUGUGUGUGUGUGUGUCUGUACCCCCAGGGCCUUGGGUUCCGCCUCCAGGUACUUCUGGUUCCUGUGGAUGUUCUUCUGGAAGCUGACCUCGACCAGGGGGGUCUGGGCUGGCCCGAUGCCGUCCUCCGCCAUGGCUGCUUCAUCUGAAAAACACAUGUCAUGUCGUGUGUGUUGUUAGUGAGCAAAACACGGCGAAGGAGAAGAAGAAGAAACAAGGAAGAACAUGCACUCGCAGGCGCGUUUGCAGCGGAAGCUUCCGUCUAUCAACCCGAGCACAACAUCUGGAUUUCAUCACUCCGGACCAACAACAACUCGGGUCCUCACGCGCCCUUUGCUCACCGUUAGCUGAAAACUGUGCGUAUUAAUAAAGCGUAUUUUUUAGUUUACCUGCCAUGGUCGCAGUAUCUUCAAGCUCUUCAAGCUAAAAAAAAACGAUGUCUUCCCCUUUUUAUCCUGGAUCUACUGGUCCCAGCCUGAAGUUUUGCAACAGUUUGGACAGUGAGAGUGGUCGAGUCCCGCCCCGCAUCUGUCACUGCAACAUGACUCUCUGCUGCACACUUCCUCUCAGCCCCGCUGUGAAAGCAGCCCUCUGAUUGGCUGACUGCAGGGGAUAAGUCGCUUCUAAAAAAUCUGCUGCCAUUUCACACUGGAGCACAGAGAGCAACACACAUUGCUGUUCAACACGGAGCAAGGGACCGGCAGCUGUCUGAACAAAAGGGAUGCAUGUUCCCAGCUUGGAAUCUUGGAAUGGGCCCCAAGUCCAAAGCGGAAGAUCACACACACACACACACAGAAUAUAUCAAACUUUAUUGUCACAGGUAGUUACAAACAGGCAAACAAAGUGCUCACACACUGUUGAUAACUUUACAUGCAGCAAGGUCCCUCAUUUCUCCUCACUUCACCGCAUUACCUGAUUGGAUGAACUCCAGCUGCACUACACUCACUCCUUCUCUCUGGCAAACUACUAAAGAAGCUGUUGGCCAACGCUGACACGGUGAUUGGCUAGUGAUUGAUUCCAGUCAGUCAUUUCCCAGCACAACAUUUUUAUCAUAAUAAGACAAGUAGGGGGUUUCUUCAUUAAAGGGAGGUCUAGCCUACUUAUAAGCCCGCUCACACAAAUAACAUUUUUUUUUUUUUAUUUCCCCCUCAUCCAGGUUUUGAAAUAUCAACUUCCACCAGAAUUACCUUAUUGGAUAAAGUGUAUUCCCUAUAAAACCAGUUUAGUUUGUGCAUUACACCAGGACAGUGAAGUGUAUCAGAGUGGACUUGAUGGGGAAGGAGAGAGGAGAUCUUGAGAUCUGAUGAAUGUAUGAGCCCAUUAAACAUUUAAUCAGACUGACCUACGCCGUAACAUGUCUAUGAAGACACAACAUCAGGUACAUAACAUAUUAAAAAGACAAUGGUUGGAACAGCAAUCAGAGCAAAUAAUGUUGAUAAGAUAGAAAUAAUCCCUUACUAACAUCCUAUUAAUUUUCCCUUUGUGCUGAUUGAUAAUGCAACAUGAAUAAUCACCAGUAAGGUUAGAGACUGGUUAACUUCCCUUCUUUUACGAUACACAAUCCCUGGAUAGCAGAAUACACAAGAUUUGAAUCUUUAAAACAACAUAGGGAUAACAAAACAUUUGACACCAUGCUAAUAUAGUGAAGUAAACAUUUGUGGAAGAAAAACCGUGGGUCAAAUCUGACUAUUUCCCUUCAUGACACCACGAUCACAGCUCUGACCACAAGUGUCAGUCUCCCACCCUAUUUUUAUGGCAUCACCACCAGGGGGAGAUAGAGAUUUUAAAGCCGGCCAUCUUCUAAUACAGUCACUGACUUA